GAUGAACGCUGGCGGCGUGCCUAAUACAUGCAAGUCGAGCGAACAGACGAGGAGCUUGCUCCUCUGACGUUAGCGGCGGACGGGUGAGUAACACGUGGAUAACCUACCUAUAAGACUGGGAUAACUUCGGGAAACCGGAGCUAAUACCGGAUAAUAUAUUGAACCGCAUGGUUCAAUAGUGAAAGACGGUUUUGCUGUCACUUAUAGAUGGAUCCGCGCCGCAUUAGCUAGUUGGUAAGGUAACGGCUUACCAAGGCAACGAUGCGUAGCCGACCUGAGAGGGUGCCGCGCCACACGGGAACUGAGCCCGGUUCCAGAACCCCAGGGGGGGCAGAAGUAGGGAUUUUUCCGAAAGGGGGGAAAGCUUGCGGGGCCAACGCGGGGGGGGUAAUGAAGGUUUGCGGUUCGUAAAAUCUUUUUUUGGGGAAAAAACAAAUUUGAAAGUAACCUUCCCCGUCUGGACGGGACCAAAUAAGAAAGCCCCGCUCAACUCCGU
rnacentral:rRNA from 1 species